UUACUGGGAUGCCCCAGGCAACUACUGGCUAAAGCAGACAGGAGCCAGUUGCUGAAUGGAGGAAGAAAAAGAUUCUCUUCAGAUAAGAGCAUGGGAAAAGAAAGAAUGGAAAUUUCAUGAUAGGUUAAAGGAGCUUUUAAUGUGCAGAAUGUAAUAUUUCCCUGUCGGGCAGAGAGGAAUUCUUUCAAGGCCAGAUGAGAAGCUGUUGUCGGCCACUGAAUGGUUUUUAACUGGAUGGGAACCAGAGGAAAUGCUUUACCGUGGAAAACUCCCACCUUCCCUCUUCCGUGGAGCUGGAGCGUGUGCUGCCUGCUCUGUCCCACCGGGAUGGAAGCACUGCAGCAUCUGCGGGUCAAGGAGGAGGUUUUCACCUCAGGAAAGGACACAGAGACACCAUCCAGCUUCCAAAUCACUGUUGGAAUGUUCAGGGACAGCUCAGGGGCUUUGGACUCGCUGAAGAUUUGGCCACGUGCUGGGGGCAAGCAGGUCCUGGGAGCUGGAGAGAUGAGGACAAGUGGAGGAAACGGCUCUGCUCUGUUGAGAAGAACUUCAUCAGUGGUGUCAAAACAAGCUCCCAAAGCCAGCAGACAAAUGAACUGGGUUUGUGCCACCUGCCCUCCAGCUGCAGCUUAUAUUCCUGAAGAAAACAAGACGACAAGCACCACAACACACUUCUCUUUUUGCCUGUGUAACUCCCUUUC